rnacentral:rRNA from 1 species
CGAAGGCAAGCGGAUCUCUUAAAGCUGUUCUCAGUUCGGACUGCAGUCUGCAACUCGACUGCACGAAGCUGGAAUCGCUAGUAAUCGCGGAUCAGCACGCCGCGGUGAAUACGUUCCCGGACCUUGUACACACCGCCCGUCACACCAUGGAAGUCUGCAAUGCCCGAAGCCGGUGGCCUAACCACUUAUGUGGAAGGAGCCGUCUAAGGCAGGGCAGAUGACUGGGGUGAAGUCGUAACAAGGUAUC